rnacentral:lncRNA from 1 species
CAAGGAUUCGGCAUGCCUGGCCUUUCCCUCGUGAUUUAAUUCAUCUUCUCUCAGUUCCAAUUAGACAAUUCUGAUUUUUAUUCUGUUUUACUUUUACACAUGGACAGGCAAGAAAAUUAAAGAAGACUAACUUUAUAAGCAUGCUAAAAUGAAGAAAACAAAAGCAAACAAGCCUGAACCAAGUAGAGUGGGGAGGAGCAAGAAUGGGAAAUUAAAUCCAGUAUCUAGCCCAUCCACCCUGGAGGCCAGCAGCUGGCUUUCAUGGUCCCAGCCUUGUUUGCUCUGCCCCAGGCAGAGAGUGAGGAAAGCUUUUGAAAACUUCUCUUCAUCUGUAGCACAUCUGCCUGCCUGAGGGGCCCCUGUCCCGGGGAAUCAUUUCUGACAGCUUCUUCUGCUUCUUACUAAUGGAGGGAUGCAUUAUUGCCUCAGGAGUCACCCUGUCGGGAGGCUUGUACCCCUGUGAUAAAGCCUGGAUGGGAGCAGUAUUUGACUUUUCGCUUAAUCCUGAGAUGCAAUCAGGACAAGCAUGUUUCAUGUGCAGGUGACUGGUGGGAACAGAUGGACCACAUAGAAUGGAAGAUUUGCAUCUCAUCUGGCUGCCCUUAGCCAUCACAUGUGAAGGAACUCCAGAGGAAGGACAAACAGAAAGAAUGAACUGGUGCUUACAUCUCUGCCACACAACAGAGGCUUAGACAAUGAGCUGUGCACGAGCAAAUGCCUUAGCUUCUAGCUUCUGUUCAAACUUGUGUGAGAAAAGCUUGAACUUGGGAACUCUGCUGACUGCUGGGCUCUACUCCGAGCAGACCUGGAGACCAGGUACCCGAAGGCUGACUCGCUCUGUGACCAUCUAUCAGACUUGUACUCUCAUAUCUGGAGUCAGCUUCCAAAAUAGAAGUGCAAAGACUGUUGGUGGUUUGAAGGAGCCUUGUGACUAGCUAUCCUUGGAAAGAUAGAGAAAGUGAUUGCCUCCAAGAAAGAUACAGGAGUCAUCUAGAGGAUUCAUCUGGAGAUGCUUCCUCAUUGUCAAGACAUUCUUGCUAAUAGUCGUUGUUGCUCCCUGGAUGAGUCAUACCGUAGAUGCAGCUGUGCUUGUUUUAGAGUUCCUCAAGUUGAGGAUACUUGUAAGUCUGGCAUCUGAGCCUGCCUCUGUGCAUGGGGCUCAAAGGACUGGUUAAGCCAAUCCUCUUAGGGCUAUGAAGCUAUCUAAACUCUUUUUGAUUCAUUGUGUUAUCAGUUGAAGUACAAGAGCUGGGCAAACAACUUUCAAUAUUAUUGUUGCUGAUUCAGGACUAGAGGAGAACUUGAUAAAGUGAAUUCAAGAUGGAGUCAUAUUGUGGAGGCUUAAAAGUAGAAAAGAGAUAUUGAUGGGAGUGAAGAUUAAAAUAAGGUAUACUAAGUGCCUAACAGUUAUUUAAUAGCUAGACAGUACUGAAGUAUAGGAGGUAUCUGUGGAGACGGGGGUAAUUAUCCUGAGUCUUAACCUGGUUAAAUUAUAUCAUGCUCAGUGACUGAAAGUGAUCAAAGCUACUUCAGAAUGAGUUAGGGAGAAUACAUGGAGACAGAAACUGGAAUGCAAGAAGGAAGGAUGCAUGUAGAAGAGCCUGGAGGAAGAGCUAGAAGGAGUAAGCUUAGUACGAUGCACAACAUGAUGGUACGAGAAUUAGCUAUAGUGAGUUCACCUUAUGAAUUGCAGGUGAGAUUGGGAGCCCAUAAACCAUGGGUUAAAAAGACUGAGCAUGGUAUUUCACAUCUUUAAUAAUUGGCCACUGUUCUUGCUUCUGAAACCAUUGUACAGAAAAUGGGAAAUUAUGAAGAUAUGUUGCAAAAAGAAAAAAAAAUCUCAUCUGUAAGGUACAGCACUGCAAUUGAGUUGGACUUCAUAAGGAAAAACAAGUUCUUGACAAAAACAACUGUUCAGAGGUUAGGAUCUUCUUC